rnacentral:rRNA from 1 species
AUUGAACGCUGGCGGCAGGCCUAACACAUGCAAGUCGAGCGGAGUGGCGGACGGGUGAGUAAUGACUAGGAAUCUGCCUGGUAGUGGGGGAUAACGUACGGAAAGGGGCGCUAAUACCACAUACUAUCAGAUGAGCCUAUGUCGGAUUAGCUAGUUGGUGAGGUAAAGGCCUACCAAGGCGACGAACCGUAACUGGUCUGAGAGGAUGAUCAGCCACACUGGAACUGAGACACGGUCCAGACUCCUACGGGAGGCAGCAGUAGGGAAUAUUGGGCAAUGGGCGAAAGCCUGAUCCAGCCAUGCCGCGUGUGUGAAGAAGGUCUUCGGAUUGUAAAGCACUUUAGGUUGGGAGGCGUUACCAACAGAAUAAGCACCGGCUAACUACGUGCCAGCAGCCGCGGUAAUUC